AACGUAGGGGACGAGCGUUAUCCGGAUUUACUGGGCGUAAAGCGCCCGUAGGCGGCUUUUUAAGUUGGACGUGAAAGCUCCCGGCUUAACUGGGAGAGGCCGUUCAAAACUGAGAGGCUAGAGUGAGGCAGAGGAGCGCGGAAUUCCCGGUGUAGUGGUGGAAUGCGUAGAUAUCGGGAGGAACACCAGUGGCGAAAGCGGCGCUCUGGGCCUAAACUGACGCUGAGGGGCGAAAGCGUGGGGAGCGAACGGG
rnacentral:rRNA from 2 species